CCUACGGGGGGCAGCAGUGGGGAAUAUUGGACAAUGGGGGGAACCCUGAUCCAGCCAUGCCGCGUGUGUGAAGAAGGCCCUCGGGUUGUAAAGCACUUUCAGUGAGGAAGAACGCCUGGUGGUUAAUACCCAUCAGGAAAGACAUCACUCACAGAAGAAGCACCGGCUAACUCCGUGCCAGCAGCCGCGGUAAUACGGAGGGGUGCGAGCGUUAAUCGGAAUUACUGGGCGUAAAGCGCGCGUAGGUGGCUUGAUAAGCCGGUUGUGAAAGCCCCGGGCUCAACCUGGGAACGGCAUCCGGGACUGUCGGGCUAGAGUGCAGGAGAGGAAGGGAGAAUUCCGGGUGUAGAGGUGAAAUGCGUAGAGAUAGGGAGGAAUAGCAGUGGCGAAGGGGGCGCUCUGGACUGACACUGACGCUGAGGUGCGAAAGCGUGGGGAGCAAACAGGAUUAGAUACCCCGGUAGUC
rnacentral:rRNA from 1 species